rnacentral:lncRNA from 1 species
AAAAACUAUUAAUCACAAAUAUUAUUUUAUUUUAAACUUUUAUGGGUGUUAUACUAAUUUUAAAAUUUAAUAUGUCGUCGUUUGAUCUCAAAAGUCAAAUUAUAUUUCUAAUUUUGAAACGGAUAAAGUAUUUUACCGGCCGUCACAAACUGAAUCAAAACUAUUAAUAUUUCUAAUUUUAGAACGGAGGAAGUAUUUUACCAGAGUAUAAAGCGAUAAUUGGGUUAAUUCGAAC